UGGGGAAUUUUGGACAAUGGGCGAAAGCCUGAUCCAGCAAUGCCGCGUGCAGGAUGAAGGCCCUCGGGUUGUAAACUGCUUUUGUACGGAACGAAAAGCCUGGGGCUAAUAUCCUCGGGUCAUGACGGUACCGUAAGAAUAAGCACCGGCUAACUACGUGCCAGCAGCCGCGGUAAUACGUAGGGUGCAAGCGUUAAUCGGAAUUACUGGGCGUAAAGCGUGCGCAGGCGGUUUUGUAAGACAGUGGUGAAAUCCCCGGGCUCAACCUGGGAACUGCCAUUGUGACUGCAAGGCUAGAGUGCGGCAGAGGGGGAUGGAAUUCCGCGUGUAGCAGUGAAAUGCGUAGAUAUGCGGAGGAACACCGAUGGCGAAGGCAAUCCCCUGGGCCUGCACUGACGCUCAUGCACGAAAGCGUGGGGAGCAAACAGGAUUAGAUACCCUGGUAGUCCACGCCCUAAACGAUGUCAACUGGUUGUUGGGAAUUAACUUUCUCAGUAACGAAGCUAACGCGUGAAGUCGACCGCCUGGGGAGUACGGCCGCAAGGUUGA
rnacentral:rRNA from 1 species